rnacentral:rRNA from 1 species
CAGCCGCCACGGUAAUACGUAGGGUGCGAGCGUUAAUCGGAAUUACUGGGCGUAAAGCGUGCGCAGGCGGUUGUGUAAGACAGGUGUGAAAUCCCCGGGCUUAACCUAGGAACUGCGCUUGUGACUGCACAGCUAGAGUAUGGCAGAGGGGGGUGGAAUUCCACGUGUAGCAGUGAAAUGCGUAGAGAUGUGGAGGAACACCGAUGGCGAAGGCAGCCCCCUGGGCCAAUACUGACGCUCAUGCACGAAAGCGUGGGGAGCAAACAGGAUUAGAUACCCCCGUAGUCCCUGUCUCUUAUAC